rnacentral:rRNA from 1 species
UACGUAGGGUGCAAGCGUUGUCCGGAAUUAUUGGGCGUAAAGAGCUCGUAGGCGGCUUGUUGCGUCGACUGUGAAAGCCCGUGGCUUAACCGCGUGGUCUGCAGUCGAUACGGGCAGGCUAGAGUUCGGUAGGGGAGACUGGAAUUCCUGGUGUAGCGGUGAAAUGCGCAGAUAUCAGGAGGAACACCGGUGGCGAAGGCGGGUCUCUGGGCCGAUACUGACGCUGAGGAGCGAAAGCGUGGGGAGCAAACAGG